rnacentral:rRNA from 1 species
GAUGAACGCUGGCGGCGUGCCUAAUACAUGCAAGUCGAGCGAACGGACGAGAAGCUUGCUUCUCUGAUGUUAGCGGCGGACGGGUGAGUAACACGUGGAUAACCUACCUAUAAGACUGGGAUAACUUCGGGAAACCGGAGCUAAUACCGGAUGAUAUUUUGAACCGCAUGGUUCAAAAGUGAAAGACGGUCUUGCUGUCACUUAUAGAUGGAUCCGCGCUGCAUUAGCUAGUUGGUAAGGUAACGGCUUACCAAGGCAACGAUGCAUAGCCGACCUGAGAGGGUGAUCGGCCACACUGGAACUGAGACACGGUCCAGACUCCUACGGGAGGCAGCAGUAGGGAAUCUUCCGCAAUGGGCGAAAGCCUGACGGAGCGACGCCGCGUGAGUGAUGAAGGUCUUCGGAUCGUAAAACUCUGUUAUUAGGGAAGAACAUAUGUGUAAGUAACUGUGCACAUCUUGACGGUACCUAAUCAGAAAGCCACGGCCAACUACGUG